rnacentral:lncRNA from 1 species
ACACAACAGGAGAUCUAUAGACUAGAGAGGGAGCACACAUAAAAGAGCAACCUUUUCGUCCAUCCUCAUCUACAAAAUAUAACAACCAUUCUCUAUUCCUUUGGACCUUCUAGAGUGAAGCAGCUAUUAUCUUUGAACCUGGAGGAGACAAGCGACAACUUCACCAAACAACCAAUUUGAAUUUCACCACAACACUGUCGUCGUUUACCCACCAGUGACGUCUGCUCUCUAAACCCGUCGGAAAAUCGUCACACCAAACGUCUACCACCUCACACUCGCCGGAAAAGUCGAACCUAAUACUGCCUGAAAUAAAUCCAUCGACCAACAUCCAAAAAUACACAACCUCUUGUCUUUAAGUUCCAUUUCUUGCAAAGUUUUGGUGGAAUUCGAAGAGAUGCCGUCGCGGUUGAGUUCGAGAUUCCGAUUCGUGUUCGGGUUCCCUUUUCCAUCGAGGUUUUUAGGUCUAGGUUUGCAUUUGUAUGUCGCUACUGUAACGGGAAAGGCUAUCAAUCUUUGAGGUUAAUUUCUUAAUCUUAUUUUAAAUUUCCUCUUCGUUUCAUCGUUAUUAGGCUUCGAC